GACUUGACAUCUCCUGAAUUACUCUUAAUCGAGGAAGUCCCUUCGGGGACAGGAAGACAGGUGGUGCAUGGUUGUCGUCAGCUCGUGUCGUGAGAUGUUGGGUUAAGUCCCGCAACGAGCGCAACCCUUAUUGUUAGUUGCUACUAUUAAGUUAAGCACUCUAACGAGACUGCCGCGGUUAACGUGGAGGAAGGUGGGGAUGACGUCAAAUCAUCAUGCCCCUUAUGUCUAGGGCUACACACGUGCUACAAUGGCUGGUACAACGAGCAGCAAACCCGCGAGGGGGAGCAAAACUUGAAAGCCAGUCCCAGUUCGGAUUGUAGGCUGAAACUCGCCUACAUGAAGUUGGAGUUGCUAGUAAUCGCGAAUCAGCAUGUCGCGGUGAAUACGUUCCCGGGUCUUGUACACACCGCCCGUCACACCAUGAGAGCCGGUAACACCCGAAGCCCGUGAGGUAACCGUAAGGAGCCAGCGGUCGAAGGUGGGAUUGGUGAUUGGGGUGAAGUCGUAACAAGGUAGCCGUAGUAGAACCUGCGGCUGGAUCACCUCCUUUCUAGGGA
rnacentral:rRNA from 1 species